AGGAUGAUGAUGAAAGUUUGUUUGUUUACAUGUUGCUUCACUUGCUUGGCCUUGUUGCCAUAUUGUGUGGGUUGUUGAGUGUACCUUGUGGAAUACGUCCAUUUCUUCAAAUCUAAGUGUAAUUAACAAGAGCAUCGACUCUUAGAGGAGCCCAUCGUGAACACUUACCAAAUCCUGCUUUCAACGGCUCGACCACUCUCAUGACGAAGGUCGUCCCCCUGGGGAUCUCUUUGAGCAUUUUGGCAACUUCGUAGUGGCGGUGACCCACCAGGUUCUUGCCGUCGAUUUUUUCUAUGUGGUCGCCCACCUGCGGGAGGAAAAGAAAAAAAGGGGGUCGUUCAAGUCAUUCAGGUAGGCACAGGGAUGAUGAAACCAAACACAAUGAAGACCUGCUAUCUACAAUUUCUCACGGUUCUUUUGCUACCAAGUCACAUCAGUAUUUCCCCCUUUAGGAUGUCAUGAGCUGCAGUUGAGACCUCACUUGGAGGGGAGAGAGUGAGAGAGAGAGUGUGACUCCUACAAUGCAUGUUAUAGGCUCUUAUGAGCCUAAGUUCUGGCUCUGUUUGCCAACUUUUGACUGGUCUACAGCCUGCUACUCUUUCCAGAGCUGCUCAGACCACAGAAAAAGUGAGAGCCUGCCUCUGGAGGAUCUGGGGAACCAUAUAUACAAGGCUAUGUAUAGGUAAGGGGUUGGAACAGAAUAUUCUUGGUUUUAAGAAAAAUGCAAAUGAAAUAUCUGUUGAAGCUGUAACCAUUCAUGAUGUUAAUAUUACAUAAAUUGAUAAGUGAUAGUCAACUACUUUUAGCAACUACAUAAAUAAAUGUUAUAACUGGUAUCAAUUCCAGUGCAGCAGUGUAAAAUACAGCACUUCGAAGCAGUUAAGGCACCAAUAUUUGAAACUAGCAUAAAAAAACUUUCAGAACUAACCUGUUUGCACUUGAGAAGUAUUAUUACUUAAGAAAUAUUUAAAAGUAUGAAAAAUGGCUUGUAAGAAUUAAUAUAUGUUGCUUAUUUUCAUUUUUCAUAUAUAUGCAUAUGUUAC